ACGCUCGACACCUACGAGAGGCAGCAGUAGGGAAUUUUCGGCAAUGGGCGAAAGCCUGACCGAGCAACGCCGCGUGAAGGAAGAAGUCAUUCGUGAUGUAAACUUCUGUUAUAAAGGAAGAACGGCGCCUGUAGGGAAUGACAGGCGAGUGACGGUACUUUAUGAGGAAGCCACGGCUAACUACGUCNCNNACGCGAGUAUGNGNGGCGGNGNGAGAG
rnacentral:rRNA from 1 species